UUUUUUAUGUAAGUGCUAUUCAUCAUGAUUCACAAGUACUGUAAACAGAAGGAGUUACCCCCCUGGAUGUGUGCCAUUCUGAAUAUUUCCAGGGGGUAACCACUUCUGUUUACAGUACUUGCUAAGUGACGAAUCAUGAUGAAUAGCGCUUACGCAAAAAA